rnacentral:rRNA from 1 species
AUUGGGCGUAAGAGCUCGUAGGCGGUUUGUCGCGUCUGCCGUGAAAGUCCGGGGCUCAACUCCGGAUCUGCGGUGGGUACGGGCAGACUAGAGUGAUGUAGGGGAGACUGGAAUUCCUGGUGUAGCGGUGAAAUGCGCAGAUAUCAGGAGGAACACCGAUGGCGAAGGCAGGUCUCUGGGCAUUAACUGACGCUGAGGAGCGAAAGCAUGGGGAGCGAACAGGAUUAGAUACCCUGGUAGUCCAUGCCGUAAACGUUGGGCACUAGGUGUGGGGGACAUUCCACGUUUUCCGCGCCGUAGCUAACGCAUUAAGUGCCCCGCCUGGGGAGUACGGCCGCAAGGCUAAAACUCAAAGGAAUUGACGGGGGCCCGCACAAGCGGCGGAGCAUGCGGAUUAAUUCGAUGCAACGCGAAGAACCUUACCAAGGCUUGACAUGGACCGGACCGCCGCAGAAAUGUGGUUUCCCCUUUGGGGCCGGUUCACAGGUGGUGCAUGGUUGUCGUCAGCUCGUGUCGUGAGAUGUUGGGUUAAGUCCCGCAACGAGCGCAACCCUCGUUCUAUGUUGCCAGCGCGUGAUGGCGGGGACUCAUAGGAGACUGCCGGGGUCAACUCGGAGGAAGGUGGGGACGACGUCAAAUCAUCAUGCCCCUUAUGUCUUGGGCUUCACGCAUGCUACAAUGGCCGGUACAAAGGGUUGCGAUACUGUGAGGUGGAGCUAAUCCCAAAAAGCCGGUCUCAGUUCGGAUUGGGGUCUGCAACUCGACCCCAUGAAGUCGGAGUCGCUAGUAAUCGCAGAUCAGCAACGCUGCGGUGAAUACGUUCCCGGGCCUUGUACACACCGCCCGUCAAGUCACGAAAGUUGGUAACACCCGAAGCCGGUGGCUAACCCCUUGUGGGAGGAGCUGUCGA